rnacentral:rRNA from 1 species
GGAUAACCUGCCCUUGGGACCGGCAUAACCCCGGGAAACUGGGGAUAAUUCCGGAUAACGCACAUAUGCUGGAAUGCUUUCUGCGUAAAAUGGAUUCGUCCGCCCAAGGAUGGGUCUGCGGCCUAUCAGGUAGUAGUGGGUGUAAUGUACCUACUAGCCUACAACGGGCACGGGUUGUGAGAGCAAGAGCCCGGAGAUGGAUUCUGAGACAUGAAUCCAGGCCCUACGGGGCGCAGCAGGCGCGAAAACUUUACAAUGCGGGAAACCGUGAUAAGGGGACACCGAGUGCUAGCAUCAUAUGCUGGCUGUCCAGGUGUGUAAAAUACACCUGUUAGCAAGGGCCGGGCAAGACCGGUGCCAGCCGCCGCGGUAACACCGGCGGCCCGAGUGGUGAUCGUGAUUAUUGGGUCUAAAGGGUCCGUAGCCGGUUUGGUCAGUCCUCCGGGAAAUCUGAUAGCUCAACUAUUAGGCUUUCGGGGGAUACUGCCAGGCUUGGAACCGGGAGAGGUAAGAGGUACUACAGGGGUAGGAGUGAAAUCUUGUAAUCCCUGUGGGACCACCUGUGGCGAAGGCGUCUUACCAGAACGGGUUCGACGGUGAGGGACGAAAGCUGGGGGCACGAACCGGAUUAGAUACCCGGGUAGUCCCAGCCGUAAACGAUGCUCGCUAGGUGUCAGGCAUGGCGCGACCGUGUCUGGUGCCGCAGGGAAGCCGUGAAGCGAGCCACCUGGGAAGUACGGCCGCAAGGCUGAAACUUAA